rnacentral:misc_RNA from 1 species
UCUCCGUUGGUGAACCAGCGGAGGGAUCAUUACCGAGUUUACAACUCCCAAACCCCUGUGAACAUACCAAUUGUUGCCUCGGUGGGCUGGCCCUUGCAAACAGGGCCCCGUCCCUCCCUCUCGGGGGGGUUGGAGCGAGCCUGCCGGUGGACUUAUAAACCUAUUUUAAUUAGUAUCUCUCUGAGUACAAAACAAAAUGAAUCAAAACUUUCAACAACGGAUCUCUUGGUUCUGGCAUCGAUGAAGAACGCAGC